GAUGAACGCUAGCGGCAGGCUUAACACAUGCAAGUCGAGGGGCAGCACGGGUAGCAAUACCUGGUGGCGACCGGCGCAAGGGUGCGUAACGCGUGAGCAACAUGCCCUAUACAGGGGGAUAAUCCAGGGAAACUUGGUCUAAUAUCCCAUAGCAUUUAGAGGAGGCAUCUUCACUAAAUUAAAGCUUCGGUGGUAUAGGAUUGGCUCGCGUGACAUUAGCUAGAUGGUGAGGUAACGGCCCACCAUGGCUAUGAUGUCUAGGGGUUCUGAGAGGAAGACCCCCCACACUGGGACUGAGACACGGCCCAGACUCCUACGGGAGGCAGCAGUGAGGAAUAUUGGACAAUGGAUGGAAAUCUGAUCCAGCCAUGCCGCGUGCAGGAAGACGGCCCUAUGGGUUGUAAACUGCUUUUAUAUGGGAGCAAUAAGGUUUACGAGUAGACCGAUGAGAGUACCAUAUGAAUAAGCAUCGGCUAAC
rnacentral:rRNA from 1 species